GCCGGGGCGGGGGUGCUAUACAUGCAAGUCGAGCGGACAGAUGGGAGCUUGCUCCCUGAUGUUAGCGGCGGACGGGUGAGUAACACGUGGGUAACCUGCCUGUAAGACUGGGAUAACUCCGGGAAACCGGGGCUAAUACCGGAUGGUUGUUUGAACCGCAUGGUUCAAACAUAAAAGGUGGCUUCGGCUACCACUUACAGAUGGACCCGCGGCGCAUUAGCUAGUUGGUGAGGUAACGGCUCACCAAGGCAACGAUGCGUAGCCGACCUGAGAGGGUGAUCGGCCACACUGGGACUGAGACACGGCCCAGACUCCUACGGGAGGCAGCAGUAGGGAAUCUUCCGCAAUGGACGAAAGUCUGACGGAGCAACGCCGCGUGAGUGAUGAAGGUUUUCGGAUCGUAAAGCUCUGUUGUUAGGGAAGAACAAGUACCGUUCGAAUAGGGCGGUACCUUGACGGUACCUAACCAGAAAGCCACGGCUAACUACGUGCCAGCAGCCGCGGUAAUACGUAGGUGGCAAGCGUUGUCCGGAAUUAUUGGGCGUAAAGGGCUCGCAGGCGGUUUCUUAAGUCUGAUGUGAAAGCCCCC
rnacentral:rRNA from 1 species